GAUGAACGCUAGCGGCAGGCUUAACACAUGCAAGUCGAGGGGUAUAGUAGCAAUACUAGAGACCGGCGCACGGGUGCGUAACGCGUAUGCAACCUACCUUUUACAGAGGGAUAGCCCAGAGAAAUUUGGAUUAAUACCUCAUAGUGUUAUUGAAUGGCAUCAUUUAAUAACUAAAGUUCCAACGGUAAAAGAUGGGCACUGCGUCCUAUUAGCUAGAUGGUAAGGUAACGGCUUACCAUGGCAACGAUAGGUAGGGGUCCUGAGAGGGAGACUCCCCCACACUGGUACUGAGACACGGACCAGACUCCUACGGGAGGCAGCAGGUGGGGUAAUUUUGGACAAUGGGGGCAACCCUGAUCCAGCAAUGCCGCGUGUGUGAAGAAGGCCUUCGGGUUGUAAAGCACUUUUGUCAGGAACGAAACGGCGAGGGCUAAUAUCCUUUGCUAAUGACGGUACCUGAAGAAUAAGCACCGGCUAACUACGUG
rnacentral:rRNA from 1 species